rnacentral:lncRNA from 1 species
AUUCAUAGUAAAAUGUACUCGCGGGCCGUAAAAAUAAUUUCGCGGGCCGUAUACGGCCCGCGGGCCGCCAGUUGGACAGCCCUGAACUAAACAUAAGUGUAGGAUUUUACUUUUUUGCUUGAAUAAGAACAAGAUCAAAUAAAUCAGAUUCGAGACUCGUUUGAACAACAAAUUCAUUAUAUAUUAAUCCAACAGAAUUAAAAGACAUUUAUUAUAGAUUUCAAUUUUAAGUUUAGAGUCAACAUAUGCAAGAACGCAUAUUCGUGUUUUUGAACUCUAUCUUUUUCUCUCUUUUCUCUUCCAUGAUGAAGAGGAGAAACAGACGUUUCCUACUCCUGUAUAGUUAUUUGUUUCACUGAUCUCGCUCCUUCUCUUAUUGAACAAUGCAGCAGUUUACAAUAUUGAGUUUAUUGCGGAAACAAAUAACGCGAAGAAACUUGUAUUGCUUAGAAUAUUUGCCAAAAAUGGUCAUAGUCGUAUUUUUUGCAUUUGAACAUCGAAGACCCUCAAAGUACUUCUCCCAAAGAACUUCUUAUUCUCAAUCUUUUUUGCUUUUCUCCUCCUCAUUUUCUGAAUUUUCUCUGGCUUGUUGAUUGUUUUUCUUGUCGAUAUGUUAUGCAUUCAUUCACUAGAACUUGAUGAAAUAUGUCAUUAUUAAAAGUCAUCUACUUUAUAUAUGAGACCUCUGUUCCUGGACAUACCUUUAUAUUUGGCACUUCUGUUUACUAGGCUAUAUUUCUGUUUGUUUCUCCGAUAUAACUAUUUGAAUUAUGUGGCUGUUAAUAAACCUUGUUUUUGUAUGAAACAUUCGGAAAACGUCAUUUAUAUGAUUGCAAAUCGUAUUAGCAAUAAAUACGGAUCACGUACGUUACGAGACAAAUUAUCCGCGAGUUGUCAUAUAAUAUUUCUCAAAUCAGCAUAGCUAUUUAAUAAAUAUAAAUAAACGUAAAAUAUAGAAUUUUAUGAAGUCUGUAUAACUAGAAAAUUUCUAUAAUAAAUUGUGUUACAAUAUGCUACAGUAAGAGCCUGUUCAAAUUCACUUCUCUCUUGCGAUAAACUUCUCAACUCUAUUUCCUUUCAAUAUUAUAACAGUAUAUAUUAUGUACAUUUCAUAUAAAAAUAUCAGAAAAAUUAAUGUAUAGUGUGUAUGAAAAUCAUAAAUAGUAUAAAUAAAACAAGCAAGUUAUAUAUAAUAUAAUGGGAAAAUAUUAAAAUUUUUAUUAUAACUGAUACAUGUUAAUUUAAAUAAAUAGGAAUUUAGUACGGCUU